GAUGAACGCUGGCGGCGUGCCUAAUACAUGCAAGUCGAGCGAACAGACGAGGAGCUUGCUCCUCUGACGUUAGCGGCGGACGGGUGAGUAACACGUGGAUAACCUACCUAUAAGACUGGGAUAACUUCGGGAACCCGGAGCUAAUACCGGAUAAUAUAUUGAACCGCAUGGUUCAAUAGUGAAAGACGGUUUUGCUGUCACUUAUAGAUGGAUCCGCGCCGCAUUAGCUAGUUGGUAAGGUAACGGCUUACCAAGGCAACGAUGCGUAGCCGACCUGAGAGGAUGAUCAGCCACACUGGAACUGAGACACGGUCCAGACUCCUACGGGAGGCAGCAGUAGGGAAUCUUGCGCAAUGGGCGAAAGCCUGACGGAGCAACGCCGCGUGAGUGAUGAAGGUCUUCGGGUCGUAAAACUCUGUUAUUAGGGAAGAACAAAUGUGUAAGUAACUAUGCACGUCUUGACGGUACCUAAUCAGAAAGCCACGGCUAACUACGUG
rnacentral:rRNA from 1 species